AGUUGAUUUUCUGUUGAACUUUUGUAAUGUUUUCAUAAUUUGAAAAAUUAUCUUUUAUAUAUUAUAUUGUUAAAUAUAUGAAAACAAAUUAUAACACAAGUAGUUAAGAAAAAGAAAAAAAAUUGUAUAUAAAGUUCUCUCUCUGGUUGUAAUGUGUUUAGUAUAGAAUUGUUUAAGAUAACUGUUGUGUUGUUUUGUAUACAAUAAGAUUGUUUCUGUUUUAAUUAUUAAAAAUAAACCAUUUUGCUAUUAAAAAUUAAAAAAAGAAAAAUUGUAGAUUUGUACAUGCACUGCAUAACUAUAAUGUAAGUGAAUAAUAUCUUUAUAUUUAAUAAGUGUAUACAGUAUUUAAUAACCCAAAAUUGUGAUAAUGGCAAAUUUUUUGUGGUAUUAUUUUCUGUGCUUUUGUGUGAAAAUAAAAAAAAUCUGCUGUCUUUUAUAAGUGAAAUAUAUAAACUUUUCACUUUGUCACUUGAAUAAAAUUACUAAGAUGAUUUUUUUUUUAACACAAGCAGUUAUGAUUAUUUCUUAAAUUAUAUUAAAAAUUUAUUGUAUAAAUUAUUCAGAAUAUAUUAUAUAUUCAUGAUUUAUUGGGUCUUAAAUCAUUUUUUUUUAUGUAUAUUAUGACUUUUUAAUAUUCAAGAGAGAAGUCCAUUUAAGGUUUUGAAUAGAGUUUUAGAUAUACUGUUUUAACAUGUACACUAUAUACUGUACAUAAUCCUUUGCAAAGAUGUAGCAGAAAUCCAAAUAGAGUAUGUUUUGAUUUAUGUCUGUGACAAAGAACUGAAAGGAAUUUUUAAACGGUCAGUUUAUAUUAGGAUUUGUAACUCUAAACCAAUGUUAAAAAAAAAAAAUCUCACGAUGUCUUUUAUUGACACAUCGAAAGUAUUUUCACUCGUCCUUGUGUCAGGCCACUAGACAGGAAGUCGUUUAGCUCUCCCACUACUUCUCAUUUCGUAACAUUUCCUGUUCUUAAUUUACAGCCGUCGUCUUGGUUUGGCAUAGUUUCUUUACCAUCAACUCUCUCGAGAAAUAUUCUUAUUGUUAAAUUUUUUCUUUUAUAUAUAUAUACCAGUAUAUAUUCCUCUUUUAAUAAUUAUAGUUAUUGUGGACAGGCUUACUUUUCUGUGAUUAUACUGAUAUAUAUAUAUUUAUGUAAAGAUUGUUUAAUCAAUAAAAACUUGAGUUAAUAUUUUUUUUUUGUCUAAAUGUGUUUACUUUAAAUCCUUACUAUUUACUAGGAUGGCUUAUCUAUCAAUGUUCAAUAAACACACAGAGACAACAUCUGCUUCCGGACUAUGACCCUUGGGAACGGACGUCGUCAGACCGGGGUAGGAAAAGUUGAAGGGAUGGACCAUCCCAUUAAUGUCAAUCGUAAUAGCCACUUAGCGUCAGCUACGAUGGCAUCUGCUCCGAUUCGUCUAUAUUGGAUUUCUAUGGAGAUUUACGUUAUCACAAUUAACCCAUUAGCAUUGUUGAUAUCUAGAUCUUUCUUAAAAUUCUUUUUUUUUUUUUUUUUUUUUUUUGUAACUCGACUCCUAUUUUCAGUUAUAUUUGUACAGUAUCUAUAAGAGUAUAAGAUACUGAGACAAAUAUUUAAA
rnacentral:lncRNA from 1 species